AUUGCUUCUCGGCCUUUCUGCUAAGAUCAAGUGUAGUAUCUGUUCUUAUCAGUUUAAUAUCUGAUAGAAAAACAAAAUCUUGAAGCUGCACUUUCAUAUGGCUCUUUGUAGCAUUACCUAUUUAAAGCUAAUGUACUUGCACGUACUACUUGUGGUCUGGAGUUUGAACCUUCAGAGUUGAAAGCACUUA